UUUUGUUUUGGGCAUUUUUAUUAAUGAUUUAUUUAAUUUCUUUUCUGGGUUCAGGUAGCUUGAAUUUAUUGAAAUAGUGGUUUUUUUCUGCGUCAAUUUUGAAGUCCAACAUUGAUGGCUUUGUUGUAUUUACAACAGAAAUACUAUCCUAUAGCCUUUUUGUGAGGUAAUUGCUAAAUAAGUUCCAUAUUCAUUACUGUUGUAGCCACUGAGACAGAAAGUAGAAUGUUACCUAUUCAUCUAAAAGUCUUAAACCA
rnacentral:lncRNA from 1 species